UCAUUACCAGCUGCUGCGUCAUCCUGCUGCAGACUAUCAGUCUACACAUCAGCAAUCAAUCUGAACUUUGCUCCGCCCGUCACCUGACUCCCCCAAAACUAACAACCAGGAAACCGCUUGGUCUUCGUCCUCACUACAGACACACACACAGACUGAACAUCUGACGAUCACAUUUACCUUCAGACCAAACUAACAACUCCCAACAGCUCAGCCUGCGGACUCUCCACACACUGAAGGUGAUGGCGAUGGUCGUGCUCCUGAGGCUGCAGCUCGAAGCUCAGGGUGGAGUUGAUGGCGAUGAUGCCGCUGACGGAGGAAACACAGGACGGUUUACUAUCUGCAGAGGAUCAAUCAGGCCGAGUGUGUUGGGAAUGUGUCCGAAAUAAGGCCCUAAGGCCAGAAAAAUCUGACUCCAAUUACCUAAUUCCCACGCCUUCUUUAUAUCGGACUUAAGUUUACCAGAACACAAAGAUCAAUCUGAGAAGAAGCAAAGUUUACUGAGUCCAGACUAACGGUAGGCCCUGAUUGGGCGAGAUGAGAGCGAAUCGCCGCGGCAAGCAAAACAAAGUUGACGAAAGUUUAAUUUUAUUCAAAUGAGGACCACUCGAGAGCCAAUCAGGUCCGCCUGUUUGUGUUUGGAGGCGGGAGUUACAAAAUAAGUUAUCAGCGCUGUAUCAUGAACAUUAGUAUGUGAUUAAAAUGUUUCUACACGAACAUUGGUACUUGUAUCAACACCAAUUGUGAU